UCCUGCGCGGAAGAUGUAACGGGGCUAAGCCAGUAACCGAAGCUGCGGAUGUGCGCGUAAGCGCACGUGGUAGGAGAGCGUUCCGUAAGCCUGUGAAGGUGGGUUGAGAAGCCUGCUGGAGGUAUCGGAAGUGCGAAUGCUGACAUGAGUAGCGAUAAAGAGGGUGAGAUGCCCUCUCGCCGAAAUCCCAAGGGUUCCUGCUUAAAGCUAAUCUGAGCAGGGUAAGCCGGCCCCUAAGACGAGCCCGAAGGGGGUAGUCGAUGGGAACCACGUUAAUAUUCGUGGGCCUGGUGGUGUGUGACGGUUUGCGUAAGUUGUCUGUCCUUAUUGGAUUGGUCAGGCUUCGAAGCAGAUCCAGGAAAUAGCCCCACCGUAUAGACCGUACCCGAAACCGACACAGGUGGUCAGGUAGAGUAUACCAAGGCGCUUGAGAGAAGUCUCCUGAAGGAACUCGGCAAAUUGCCUCCGUACCUUCGGAAGAAGGAGGCCCCAACUAAGCGCAAGCUCUGUUGGGGGGCACAGGCCAGGGGGUAGCGACUGUUUAGCAAAAACACAGGGCUCUGCUAAGUCGGCUUCAAGACGACGUAUAGGGCCUGACGCCUGCCCGGUGCCUGAAGGUUAAGUGGAGGGGUGCAAGCUCUGAAAUGAAGCCCAGGUAAACGGCGGCCGUAACAAUAACGGUCCUAAGGUAGCGAAAUUCCUUGUCAGGUAAGUUCUGACCCGCA
rnacentral:rRNA from 1 species